UACACUCCUACGGGAGGCAGCAGUGGGGAAUAUCGCACAAUGGGCGCAAGCCUGAUGCAGCCAUGCCGCGUGUAUGAAGAAGGCCUUCGGGUUGUAAAGUACUUUCAGCGGGGAGGAAGGCGAUAAGGUUAAUAACCUUGUCGAUUGACGUUACCCGCAGAAGAAGCACCGGCUAACUCCGUGCCAGCAGCCGCGGUAAUACGGAGGGUGCAAGCGUUAAUCGGAAUUACUGGGCGUAAAGCGCACGCAGGCGGUCUGUCAAGUCGGAUGUGAAAUCCCCGGGCUCAACCUGGGAACUGCAUUCGAAACUGGCAGGCUAGAGUCUUGUAGAGGGGGGUAGAAUUCCAGGUGUAGCGGUGAAAUGCGUAGAGAUCUGGAGGAAUACCGGUGGCGAAGGCGGCCCCCUGGACAAAGACUGACGCUCAGGUGCGAAAGCGUGGGGAGCAAACAGGAUUAGAUACCCCGGUAGUCCCAUGA
rnacentral:rRNA from 1 species